AUUGAACGCUGGCGGCAGGCCUAACACAUGCAAGUCGAGCGGAUGAAGGGAGCUUGCUCCUGGAUUCAGCGGCGGACGGGUGAGUAAUGCCUAGGAAUCUGCCUGGUAGUGGGGGAUAACGUCCGGAAACGGGCGCUAAUACCGCAUACGUCCUGAGGGAGAAAGUGGGGGAUCUUCGGACCUCACGCUAUCAGAUGAGCCUAGGUCGGAUUAGCUAGUUGGUGGGGUAAAGGCCUACCAAGGCGACGAUCCGUAACUGGUCUGAGAGGAUGAUCAGUCACACUGGAACUGAGACACGGUCCAGACUCCUACGGGAGGCAGUAGUGGGGAAUAUUGGACAAUGGGCGAAAGCCUGAUCCAGCCAUGCCGCGUGUGUGAAGAAGGUCUUCGGAUUGUAAAGCACUUUAAGUUGGGAGGAAGGGCAGUAAGUUAAUACCUUGCUGUUUUGACGUUACCAACAGAAUAAGCACCGGCUAACUUCGU
rnacentral:rRNA from 1 species